GAAAUCUCAAGCUGGAAUCACAGAAAAUUUCUUAAAAACAAACCCUAGAUUAAACCUAUAAAUCUGAAACUUCAACUAGAGAUUAGAGCCAUAGAAUUUACUUACGGGGUCGAUUUUCCUUGAGGAUUUAAGGUGGAAAAUCUUAGAU